rnacentral:rRNA from 7 species
GAGUUUGAUCAUGGCUCAGAUUGAACGCUGGCGGCAUGCCUUACACAUGCAAGUCGAACGGCAGCACGGGAGCUUGCUCCUGGUGGCGAGUGGCGAACGGGUGAGUAAUGCAUCGGAACGUAUCCUGGAGUGGGGGAUAACGUAGCGAAAGUUACGCUAAUACCGCAUAUUCUGUGAGCAGGAAAGCGGGGGACCUUCGGGCCUCGCGCUCUUGGAGCGGCCGAUGUCGGAUUAGCUAGUUGGUGAGGUAAAGGCUCACCAAGGCGACGAUCCGUAGCAGGUCUGAGAGGAUGAUCUGCCACACUGGAACUGAGACACGGUCCAGACUCCUACGGGAGGCAGCAGUGGGGAAUUUUGGACAAUGGGGGCAACCCUGAUCCAGCCAUGCCGCGUGAGUGAAGAAGGCCUGG